rnacentral:lncRNA from 1 species
CCGGCCGUUCUGGGACAAAGCUGAGAAUGACCCGAUUGCUAAAGGGGUCCAACCAUAGACAUUGAACUGGCCAGACCAUUCAAGGACUUGGUUCUUCAGGGUUGGGGGAACUUUGGACCCUGAAACAGGGAAGUGUCAUUGGACAGACUAGAAACUUCCAAUACCCAUGACCAAGCUUCACAAGUGUAUCGUCGCGGCGCAGGAAGAGACAUUCAUUCCAGACAGAGAGAAUCACGAGGUGACUGAGGCCCUAGGGAAUGUUGAGCACCCUGGACAAACACGACGCACACCAGGCUCUGUUCCAUGGAAGUUUGGCUUUCCUAAUGCAAGAGGUUACAGAAGCCGGGAGAGAAAGAGGAAAGCGGAGCUGAGCGACAUGCAGUAGAUCAAGGCAAGACUGCAAAAGCUAGAGGAACUUGAGAGCCAGCGAGCUGCCGGCCAACCAUCUCAGUAGCACGAAGCUACCCUAGAAGGUACCCCACCAUUUCAGCGGAGAAGCAGCGUGGCUUCCACGAAGCCCAUUCAGCAUGACUUCACGACUCCUAGCUACCCCGUGGAUACUAUCACGGAGGCUCAAUGUUGCAAGCUUAUGAUGAAAUGUCGGAACCUCACUUUUAAGGCGGCUGUCGGCUCUAUUGAACCUCCUCAACCCAACGGAACUUUUCACUGCCUUCCGAUUCCACAUGGCUAUGUUAUUGUGAUGGUGGAUCAAGUAAUGGAGGUAUUUGAGCAGAUCGAGCUUGAUCACCCUACAGGUGAGGGGGAGAUUCAGUUGGUUCGUGUUGUGGGGAGUACAUGUCUAUGGCAGAAGGAGUUCAUCAAGCUUCCAAACUAGACGGCUCCGCCUCCUCCUUCGACGACGACGAGUCAGGGCACUCUGCCUCCUCCCCCUCCUCCUCCGGCGAGUGAUCAGGGCACUCCGCCUCCUUCUCCAUCUCCUCCGAUGCGUGAGGGCACUUCGCCUCCUCCUUCGCCUACCCCAGCGCGUCAGAGCAGUCCGCCUCCUCCUUUGCCUCAUCGGCAACAUCGGAAGACAAACGCCCUCCGGCUCGUCCGGCGCGUCAGAGCAGUCCGCCUCCUUCUCUCAAACGGAAGAUAUACGCCUCCUUCUCUCCGGCAGCUAGCAGUACAAGCGGAGGCGGGAAAUACGGUCCAUCUCUCAAGCCUCUAGAAAAGUUACCAUAUGAGAGGACCAAGGAGGAAAACGAGGAGAUAUGUCGUGCCGAAUUGAGGGCGCAUUUUGCAAAGAAAACUCCACCUCCGAAGGAGAAGCUAGAUCCAGUGAAAGUAGAGCGCACUAUCAAUCAACUGCAGCAUCCACAACCGCCUCUGCCGGAUUCCAACUAUGACCGCAUUCUUAAAAAGACAUAUGCACAAGCGAUGCGGUCGGGAACUACUUCUAGUGAUGCAAGGUUAGCAGAACGAACAAGUGGGAAAACAAUUCCCGAGCUCGAUAUAGUCGUCGCUAAUCAUCCAGAGAUGGUGCCCAUUACGAUUCCUGAUGAUUAUUUGGGGGAUGAUGUAACAAAAGAACAAUAUAAAUACGUGCACGGGAAGCCUCUCGUCAAACCUGGUCAUCCUUCUCUAACAACGAUGAUGCACAGAUUGCAUGAGUGGUACAUGAAAACCUGCAGGGAGUCUGGGAAAAACGCUAUGUAUGUGGCAGUGAAACCAGAGCAUGAAUUCAUUGGACUUCCCAUGAAUACUAUUCAAUUUGAGGAGUUAUUUCAGUUAUACAAUCAACUGGCCCUUGACAAACAACUCAUGACUUCCUACUGUCUGUAAAUAUUAAUUGUAUAGUUAAGUGUCUAGCUCAGCUCGUUCAUUGCAUGUAUAUAUAAUUAUCCUCACUAUAGAUAUUAUGCAGAUUGAAGAUCGUCGAAUUAAAAAAAGCAGGAAUCGUCGACGUUGGUUUCAUUAGCCCAGAUGUCGUAAAUGAAUUGAUGAUACAAAACUCAUCAAAGAGACCGAGGAGAACUUGCUAAACUCGUUCCUUAUACAUAAAAAAGGGAAAUAAUCUUUCCUUACAACUUCAAGUGAGUGUUGUUGUCUUCUCUGUAAACUCGGUUUCGCUUACUCGAGGUUAAUUAAGUAAUGUAAUUGAUGGGUUAUAUAUGCGCGCGCAGAGACCACUUUAUUCUGCUAUCCAUUGACGUUGGCACGGCAUUAGUAAAUGUCUUAGACUCGAGCCGUAAAGCCGAAGAGGAUUAUGAGGACAUAACUGCAAUGCUCAAGAAGUAAGUUCAGUCAAUAUACCGAGACCAUAUCGGCAUGCAACUUUCAUUAAUUUCUUGAUAACAUGUAAUCAUUUUCUUUGCCUGGCAGGAUUUGGACGAAGUUCGCCAAUAAAGUUCCCGGUCUAAACAAAGAGUUGCGAUUUACGCACCCCAAAGUAAGUAGUACUAGCUAGUUCCAUGCAUCUCUAAUUGAUUCACAUUUUCAUCAAUAUAUCAUUACCAUGUUUGCUUAUCAGUUUGAUUGAACUCUAUUCUCGUAAAGUGUAUGUACCAGAAAGAAGGCAUUGUUUUAUGUGCAUACUACGUAUGCGAGUUCAUUCGCCACUCGACCUCUGCGCGCGUCUUCUGUGAGAAACAAUUUCAAGUACGUAAAGAAUAUUCACAAUUAUGUUGAGUUUUAUUCAUAUAUAUGCAUGAUUGACCCCUUCUUUAAAUUAGAUUUGCGAGAUGCGGGAUCAACUCCUGUCAUAUGAUCGCAUACGAGCAAUUAAAGAGGAAUUGGCGGAAUUCUUUGUUGACCAUGUCAUACCUAAAGACGGAGAAUGCCAUGUGGAUUUGUCAUUGGAUCUUAAUUAGAUGAUGUUUUGGAUUAAUUGUAAAAGAUCUUAUAUUGUAUAUAUGUAAUAGUGUCAGAUAGAAAUACAAAACCUUGGUGUUCGACCAAGCCUGGAGAAAGAGAGGACACUUCUCUCUAUUAGCUAGCUAACACAAUAUGAAACCACUAAAUUAACACUCCAAAAGCCCCCAAACCCACCCCCCAUUCAAAAAAAAAACAGCUCCGGCCAGAUGCUGACGCGUGGAUGCCAUGUUGUCCCAGUUGGUGUGACCAACCGGGACUAAAGAACCUCCUGCCCGGGCUACCCGCAGAGGCCACGUGGAGACCCUUUUGUCCCGGUUAGUAAGGAAACUGGGACUAAAGGUUAUGGGCUUUAGUCCCGACCCUUUAGUCCCGGUUCUAGAACCGGGGCUAAUGGGCCUUUGGAACCGGGACAAAUGGGCCAUUUUCUACUAGUGUGUUUUGGUCAUCAGAAAAGUUUCGAGCUCAUCGAUAGUGUACGGGGAGUGCUAGGAGGGUGCCGGGGGACCAUCGGGAGGGGUGUGACGACCCAAGAGACUUAUGGGCUAUGAGAGGAGGUGGACCAGCCCCUGGUGGGCUGGUCAAACCCUCACUCAAAAGCCCAUGCGGCUAGGAGUGCAGAUAAAAGGCAAAAGUCCUUUAAAAGGAAAGGAAGGAGUCCUCCUCCCAAAGUAGUCCACCUCCCUUGUGGGAAGGUGGACUCUUCCUUUAGGCUUCGGCUGACCCCUUCUCCUUGGAGUAGGGGCCAAGGCUGCCUCCUCUCCCCUCCUCCUAUAUAUACUAGAGGUAUUGAGGGUUUUUGGAAAACACAGAAAUCAGCCACGGCUGCCUCUCUCUCUCUAGAUCUGUUUCGCCUCUAGUCUAAUUUGGGAGUGCUUAGGCGAAGUCCUGCUAGAUUGGUUCACUNCCACCACCACGCCGCCGUACUAGAGAACUCAUCUAACUCUUCGCCCCCUCUUGCUGGUUCAAGAAGGCGGAGAUCGUCAUCGAGCUGUACGUGUGUGAACGCGGAGGUGUCGUCCGUUCAACACUAGAUCGGGAUAGAUCGUGAUGGGAUCGCACGACGGAUCGUGAUGAGAUCGUGGGACGGGAUGUGAUUUGAAUCGCGAAGAUGUUCCACUACAUCAACUGCAUUAUACGCUUCCGCUUAGAGAUCUACAAGGGUAUGUAGAUUCACUCUCCCCUCUCGUAGAUGAUCAUCACCAUGGAUAGGUAUUGUGUGGGUAGGAAUUUUUUUUGUUUCCCAUGCUACAUUCCUCAACAGUGGCAUCAUGAGCUAGGUUCAUGCGUAGAUGAUAUCUCGAGUAUAACACAAAAGAGUUUGUGGGCAUUGAUGUUCAAUUUGCCGCCCUCCUUAGUCUUUUCUUGAUUUGGCGGUAUUGUUGAAUUGAAGCGGCCCGGACCAACAUUACUCGUACGCUUACGGGAGACCGGUUUAAUCGACUAACAUGCAACUUGUUGCAUAAAGAUGACUGGCGGGCGUCUGUUUCUUCAACUUUAGUUGAAUCGGAUUAAACUAGAUACUUGCAUAUCACCGUUGUGGUUUUGCGUAAGUAAGAUGCGAUCAAACUAGAUACCCAUAGCAGCGACAUAAAACAUGCAACAACAAAUUAGAGGACAUCUAACUUGUUUUUGCAGGGUACGCAGAUGAUGUGAUAUGGCCAAUGACAUGAUAUGAUAUAUUGGAUGUAUGAGAUGAUCAUGUUGUAAUAUUUAAAUAUCGACUUGCACGUCGAUGCUACGACAACCGACAGGAGCCAUAGGGUUGUCUUUAAUUAUUUUGCGCUUGGUGAUUCUUUGCUUUAUCGCUAGUAGUAGCUUUAGUAGUAACAUCAUAGUUAGUAUGACAAUCUCGAUGGUAGCACAAUGAUGUAGAUCAUGAUGAUGGAGAUCAUGGUGUGGCGCGGGUGACGAUGGAGAUCAUGCUGGUGCUUUGAUUAUGAAGAUCAAGAAGCACAAGUUCAUGGCCAUAUCAUGUCACUUAUGAUUUGCAUGUGAUGUUAUUCCUUUUAUGCACCUUGUUUUGCUUAGGACGACGGUAGCAUUAUAAGGUGAUCCCUCACUAAAAUUUCAAGAUAAAAUGGUGUUCUCCCCGACUGCGCACCAUUGCGAUAGUUCGUCGUUUCGAGACAGCACGUGAAGAUCGGGUGUGAUAGAUUGAACGUUCACAUACAGCAGGUGCAAAAUAGUUGCACACGUGGAACACUCGGGUUAAACUUGACGAGCCUAGCAUGUACAAACAUGGCCUCGGAACACAAGAGACCUAAAAGUCGAGCAUGAAUCAUAUAGUUGAUAUGAUCAACAUGGAUAUGUUCACCAUUGAAACUAUACUCAACUCACGUGAUGAUCGGACUUGAGUUAGUGAAUUUGGAUCAUGCAACACUCGAAUGACUAGAGGGAUGUCAAUUUGAGUGGGAGUUUAUUAGUAAUAUGAUUAGCUAAACUCAAUUAUCAUGAAAAUAGUCAAAAGGUCUUUGCAAAUUAUGUUGUAGCUUGCACUGUAGCUCUACUCGUUUUUGAUAUGUUCCUGGAGAAAAUUUAGUUGAACGAUGAUAGUAGCAAUUAUGCAGACUGGGUCCAUAAACUGAGGAUUGUCCUCAUUGUUGCGUAGAUAGCUUAUGUCCUUAAUGCACCACUGGGUGUGCUGAACCUCGAGCAUCGUCUGUGGAUGUUGCGAACAUAUGACAUACACAUUUUUGAUGACUACAUGAUAGUUUAGUGCGUAAUGCCUAAAACGGCUUAGAAUUGAGGCAUUGAAGACGUUUCAAACGUCACGGGACAUACGAGAUGUUCCAAGAAAUGAAAUUGGGAUUUCAGGCUCGUGCCCUUGUUGACAGGUAUGAGACCUCUGACAAGAUUCUUUGUCUAGAAAGUAAGGGAAAAAAGCUCAAUCGUUGAGCACGUACUCAGAUUGUCUGAGUGCUACAAUCGCUUGAAUCGAGUGGGAGUUAAUAUUCCAGAUGAGAUAGUGAUGCUUCUCCAAAGUCACUGCCACCAAGCUACUGGAGCUUUGUGAUGAACUAUAGCAUAUCGGGGAUGAAUAUGAUGAUCCCUGAGCUAUUCAAGAUGUUUGACAUUGCGAAGGUAGAAAUCAAGUAGGAGCAUCAAGUGUUGAUGGUUAGUAAAACCACUAGUUUCAAGAAGGGCAAGGGCAAUAAGGGAUACUUCAUGAAAGACAAACCAGUUGCCGCUCUAGUGAGAAAACCCAAGGUUAAACCCAAACCCAAGACUAAGUGCUUCUAUAAUGAGGGGAAUGGUCACUCGAGCGAAACUACCCUAGUUACUUGGUAGAUAAGAAGGUUGGCAAAGUCAACAAAAGUAUAUUGGAUAUACAUGAUAUUGAUGUGUACUUUACUAGUACUCAUAGUAGCACCGGGGUAUUAGAUACCGGUUCGGUUGCUAAGUGUUAGUAACUCGAAAUAAAAGCUAUGGAAUAAACGAAGACUAGCUGAAGGCGAGGUGACGAUGUGUGUUGGAAGUGUUUACAAAGUUGAUGUGAUCACCAUCGUACGCUCCCUCUACUUUCGAGAUUAGUAUUGAACCUAAAUAAAUGUUAUUUGGUGUUUGCGUUGAGCAUGAACAUGAUUAGAUCGUUUUUAUUGCAAUAUGAUUAUUCAUUUAAAGAUAAUAAUGGUUAUUCUAUUUGGUUGAAUAAAUACCUUCAAUGGUUUAUUGAAUCUCGACCGUAGUGAUACACAUGUUCAUAAUAUUUGAUGCCAAAAGAUACAUAGUAAUGAUAGUACCACUUUCUUGUGGCACUGCCGCUUGAGUCAUAUUGGUGUAAACGCAUGAAGAAGCUCCAUACUGAUGGAUCUUUGGACUCACUCGUUUUUAGAAUCGUUUGAGACAUCCGAACCAUGCCUAUUUGUGUAAACGCAUGAAGAAACUCCAUGCAGAUGGAUCGUUUGGACUCACUUGAUUUUAAAUCACUUGAGACAUGCAAAUCAUGGGCAAGAUGACAGAAGGACUUGUUUUCCUGUGAGAUGGAACAAGAGAGUAACUUGUUGGAAGUAAUACAUUUUGAUGUAUGCAAUCCAAUGAGUGCUGAGGCACGCAGUGGAUAUCAUUAUGUUCUUACUUCACAAAUGAUUUGAGUAGAUACUGGUAUAUUCAAUUAAAAAAAACAAGACUGCAUUAUUGAAAGGUUCAAGUAAUUUCAGAGUGAAGUUGAAGAUCGUCGUGACAAGAGGAUAACAUGUCUACGAUAUGAUCGUGGAGAUGAAUAUCUGAGUUGCGAGUUUGGUACACAUUUAAGACAAUGUGAAAAUUAUAUCAUAACUAAUGCCACCUGGAACACUAUGGUGUGAUGGUGUGCCCGAACGUCAUAGCCACACCAUAUUGGAUAUGGUCCAUCCUAUGAUGUUUCUUAUCGAAUUACCACUAUCGUUUUUGGGUUAUGCAUUAGAGACAACCGCUUUCACUUUAAACAGGGGACCACGUAUUUUCUUGAUAUGACAACUUAUGAACUAUGGUUUGGAGAAACCUAAGCUGUCGUUUCUUAAAAGUUUGGGGCUGCGACGCUUAUGUGAAAAAGUAUCAGCGUGAUAAGCUCGAACCCAAAGCGGAUAAAUGCUUCUUCAUAGGACACCCAAAACAUUUGAGUAUACCUCCUAUCUCAGAUCCAGAACCAAAGUGUUUGUUUCUAGAAACGGGUCCUUUCUCGAGAAAAAGUUUCUCUCGAAAGAAUUGAGUGGGAGGAUGGUGGAACUUGAUGAGGUUAUCGAACCGUCACUUCAACCAGUGUGUAGCAGGGCGCAGGAAGUUGUUCCUGUGGCGCCUACACGAAUUGAAGUGGGAGCUGAUGAUAGUGAUCAUGAAGCUUCAGGAUUAAGUUACUACAAAUCUCGUAGGUCGACAAGGCCACAGACUGCUCCAGAGUGGUACGGUAACCCUGUCUUGGAGGUCAUGUUGUUGGACAACAAUGGACCUACGAGCUAUGGAGAAGCGAUGGUGGGCCCGGAUGCCGACAAAUGGCUGGAGGCCAUGAAAUCCAAGAGAGAAUCCAUGUAUGGAAACAAAGUGUGGACUUUCGAAGAACUACUUGAUGGUCGUAAGACUAUUAAGUACAGAUGGAUCUUUAAAAGGAAGACACGCGAUGAUGGUGAAAAGUCACCAUUAAUAAAACUCGACUUGUCGCAAAGAUGUUUCCGACAAGUUCAAAGAGUUGACUAUGAUGAGACUUUCUCACUCGUAGUGAUGCUAAAAGUCUGUUGGAAUUAUGUUAGCAGUUGCUGCAUUAUUUAUGAAGUAUUGCACAUAGGAUGUCAAAACAUUGUUUCCUCGAUGGUUUCCUUGAUGAAAGGUUGUAUGUGAUACAACUAGAAGGUUUUGUCGAUCCUAAGGAUGCUAACAAGUAUGCAAGCUCCAGCGAUCCUUCUAUGGACUGGUGCAAGCAUCUCAGAGUUGGAAUAUACGCUUUGAUGAGAUGAUCAAAGCUUUUGGGUUUAUACAAGGUUUAUGAGAAACUUGUAUUUCCAAAGAAGUGAGUGGGAGCACUAUAAAAUUUCUGAUUAGUAUAUGUGGUUGACAUAUUUUUGAUCGAAAAUGAUGUAGAAUUUCUAGAAAGCAUAAAGGGUUGUUUGAAAGGAGUUUUUCAAAGGAAAAGCUGGAUUGAGCUACUUGAACAUUGAGCAUCAAGAUCUAUAGAGAUAGAUCACAACGCUCAAUAGAACUUUCAAAUGAACACAUAUCGUGACAAGAUUUUGAAGGAGUUCAAAAUAGAUCAGUCAAAGAAUGAGUUCUUGGCUGUGUUAUAAGGUGUGAGCAUUGAGUAAGACACAAAACCCGACCCGGCAGAGGGGAGGAAGAAGGUCAUCCCCUAUGCAUUAUACGUAGGCUCUAUAGUAUGAUAUACUGUGUACCGCACGUGAUGUGUGCCUUGCCAUGAAUCUGUCAAGGGGUACAAAAGUGAUCCACGGAUGGAUUACUCGACAACGGUCAAAAGUUGUCCUUAGUAACUAGUGGAAUAAGGAAUUUUUUUCCUUGAUUAUGGAGGUGAUAAAAGAGUUCUUCGCAAAGGGUUACGUCGAUGCAAGCUCUAACACUAAUCCGGAUAACUCUGAGUAGUAAACCGGAUUCGUAUAGUGGAGCAGUCAUUUGGAAUAGUUCCAAAUGGUACGUGGUAGCAGCAUCUAUAGGAUGACAUAGAGAUUUGUAUAGCACACACGAAUCUAAAAGGUUCAUACCCGUUGACUAGAAAACCUCUCUCAGAAGCAAGAUAUGAUCAAUCCCCAUGGGUGUUAGAUUCAUUACAAUCACAUAGUGAUGUGAACUAGAUUAUUGACUUUGGUGCAAGUGGAAAACUAUUGGAAAUAUGCCCUAGAGGUAAUAAUAAAUUGGUUAUUACUUUAUUUCCUUGUUCAUGAUAAACAUUUAUUGUUCAAUAUUGAACUAGGUAUACAGAUACCGACGAUCGAAUCUCGGGCAAGUAACAUAUCAAAGGACAAAGGGAACAUCAUACGGGAUUAACUGAAUCCUUGACAUAGAGGUUCAACCGAUAGAGAUCUUUGUAGAAUAUGUAGGAGCCAAUAUGGGCAUCCAGGUCCCGCUAUUGGUUAUUGACCAGAGAGUGUCUCGGGUCAUGUUUGCAUAGUUCUCGAACCCGUAGGGUCUGCACACUUAAGGUUCAAUGACGUUUCAGUAUAGUUGAGUUAUAGGUGUUAUUGACCGAAGGCUGUUCGGAUUCCCGGAUGAGAUCAUGGACAUCACGAGGUGCUUCAGAAUGAUCCGGAGGUAAAGAUUGAUAUAUAGGAAGUCCUGUUUUGGUCACCGGAAAAGUUUCGGGCUCAUCGAUAGUGUACCGGGAGUGCCGGGAGGGUGCCGGGGGACCACCGGGAGGGGUGUGACGACCCAAGAGCCUUAUGGGCUGUGAGAGGAGGUGGACCAGCCCCUAGUGAGCUGUCCGAAGCCUCUCUCAAAAGCCCAUGCGGCUAGGAGUGGAGAUAAAAGGCAAAAGUCCUUUAAAAGGAAAGGAAGGAGGAGUCCUCCCAAAGUAGUCCACCUCCCUUGUGGGAAGGUGGACUCUUCCUUUAGGGUUCGGUCGACCCCUUCUCCUUGCAGUAGGGACCAAGGCUACCUCCUUUCCCCUCCUCCUAUAUAUACUAGAGGUAUUGAGGGUUUUUGGACAACACAGAAAUCAGCCACGGCUGCCUCUCUCUCUCUAGAUCUGUUUCGCCUCUAGUCUAAUUUGGGAGUGCUUAGGCGAAGUCCUGCUAGAUUGGUUCACUACCACCACCACCAUGCCGCCGUGUUGGAGAACUCAUCUACCUCUCCGCCCCCUCUUGCUGGUUCAAGAAGGCGGAGAUCGUCAUCGAGCUGUACGUGUGAUGAACGCGGAGGUGUCGUCCGUUCGGCACUAGAUCGAGGUAGAUCGUGAUGUGCUUGUGGGACGAAUCGUGAUGAGAUCGCGUGACGGGGUGCGAUUUAAAUCGCGAAGAUGUUCCACUACAUCAACCGCAUUAUAUACUCUUCCUCUUAGCGAUCUACAAGGGUAUGUAGAUUUGCUCUCCCCUCUCGUAGAUGAUCAUCGCCAUGGAUAGGUAUUGCGUGUGUGUAGGUAAUUUUUUGUUUCCAUGCUACGUUCCUCAAUACUGUGAGGGCGGCAUAUUGGAGCUUCAACUUCUCCUCAUCUUUGAUUAUCCUCCAACAAUGUCAAAGGUUGAAGGACUUGUCUUCACGUUGGACCUUGAAUGCCUCUAAAGCUUGGAAUGCCUACAAAUGAAUUACACGCAAGCAUAUUAACAAAUGAACAUGCAAACAAUGAGAGGGAGGGUGUAUCCAUGCAUACCAUGUAUUCUAUGUCGAUGCCGCUCACGGGGCGUGCCAUCGCUUUGAAAUGGACACCCACCCACGCGUGCUUUGCAUUUGGUACGUCGGAAACUUUUUGCGUUCGCGAAACUCACGAUGGACACGAAUCCAAAAGGUUGAUGCCUUUUGAUCGGCGCCGACCUUGUGGUCUUGCCCAAUGUCCCUCCAACACUCAUAAAGGAGCUUGUCCUCGACCGCCGGGUAUGCCUUCAGCCGUCUGCUCUUUCACUUGGGCUGCACCCUGACGGCUUGCGUGGCAAGCUCGUCCUCGAAUAGAGGCUCUCCGUCGAUGUCCAUCUCAUCCUCUUCAUCGAGGCCGUAGUCAUCCGGAAACACAUGGUCGAGCGGAAAUCCGUCCAGGUCCAUCUGACCUGAUCUUGCACGAAGGCUGGCUGCAUGCCAGCUUCGUCAUAGGCCGACAACGUGAACGGUCCUCCUCAGCCAUCAUGGCUUUGGGUCUCAUCGAGAUCACAGCCAGCACCACCUGCGACCGCCGAAGCACCCUCGAAGCACCCUCGAAGAUGAUGCUAUGUAAGUGGUUGGCCCUCUCGUUGUGUGUGGCUACCGACAUUCGGUCGAACAGGUUGCGGGCGCCGGAGAGCAUGUCGGCUGACGUCUCCGCGCGCGUUUCCUCAUCCCACCAGAUGACGAGCCACCGACUACUUGUGUGGCAUUGAGGUCAAUGUGCACAGGCGUGGGAGUGGAUGGUGCCAUCACGCUCACCUCCGACGAGCAUUCGCCGGAGAGGCGAGAGGCUUGGGGGUAGACGUGGAGGUGGGGAUAGGAUGAGUCGUCGACGCGUGGGGCAACUCUGAUAACGCCAUCCGAGGGAAGGCAAAUGAGCAUGUGCUGGCCGUGGCCACGGCGUUAACGAGCCCGUGCUGGGCUGGGUUUAACCCUAGGUACAAAAGUGCCUUCCUAGUUGCCGUCGCGACGCGUGCAGCGGUAUCCUCCCGCUGCGCUGCGGUGGCUAAGGCCGUGGCGGCCGCUGCUUUCUCCCUUGCGCCCGCCGCGUGCCUCUGGCCCUUUUUCUUCGCCGACUUUCAUGCUCGCUCCUCAAGCGUCAACUCCUUCUUCUUCUUGGAUGCGGCGACGGUCUUUCGGGGGGCGCGAGGCUUGCCUUCGCGAGAGGGGACGGUCGUGAUACCGGACGAGGUGAGGGAGGUGAGGCUGACGGCGGCAUCGAGGUCGUCGUCCAUGGCGAGCGGCAGGGGAGCGCGCGCGGCCGGGAGGGUUUUGAGAAAGUGAAGGAAAAUGUGGAGGCUUUGCCGCUAACUGGCGGGUCAGCGGGAGUAGUUGGCGUGCAACGCGCGCGUUUGUCUCGUAUCCGCGUGGACGCAAAUGAGGCUUAAAAAAUGAAUCAGGAAUGAGUCGACGGGCGGAUGAAAAGGGGACGCGCGUCUGUUUGGAUCGUUACGUUGGGACGAUUUUUCUGUUUGCUGCGAUUCAAACGGACGCGCACGGACAAAAUGGGUCGACGCGAGUUGUAGUCGCUCUCAUGGACCAAACUCACUAAACCACAGCGGAAGAGAAGGUGCGCCAUAUAGCGUUGCAAUCUUUUUCAUAGAUACAGGGGGUAUAAAUUUCCAAGUAGCCUUAUCCCUCAAUUCACUGCACGAGGCUACUUUUUGAUGCGUGGCCGUGGGGUAUUCUGAGAUGGUUGGCUUCACAGUACCACGCGCCACGCAGAUGCUGUGAACUGGAACUCAGGUUCUCGUGCCUGGUGUUCCCGGAGUUUGUUGGCUUGACGGCGGGCACCACGCAGAUGCUCCGAAUUGGAAGUCUGAAACUGAAACUGAACUGACGAGCCACCAGGGUCUUCUGCAGUAAGUUCGGACGCUACUUUUCUAGCGGUCAGUUAGGUCCAAAGAUGGAUGUUGCUUUUGCCUUGCGUGAAGAGUGAGACGGUUACGACCGGAACUCCUCGCACAAAACAAGCGAUCAAAAACUCCUUCGAGUCAAUCUUGGUAGAGGAAGCGAUGGCAGUUCAGAAGACAGGAAAAACUACAUGAAAAAAAGUGUUGUCAAGAGUGGGAUUUGAACCCACGCCCUUUCGGACCAGUACCUGAAACUGGCGCCUUAGACCAACUCGGCCAUCUUGACUUGACGUCCAAUUCGGGUAUAAAUUUCCAAGUAGCCUUAUCCCUCAAUUCACUGCACGAGGCUACUUUUUGAUGCGUGGCCGUGGGGUAUUCUGAGAUGGUUGGCUUCACAGUACCACGCGCCACGCAGAUGCUGUGAACUGGAACUCAGGUUCUCGUGCCUGGUGUUCCCGGAGUUUGUUGGCUUGACGGCACCACGCAGAUGCUCCGAAUUGGAAGUCUGAAACUGAAACUGAACUGACGAGCCACCAGGGUCUUCUGCAGUAAGUUCGGACGCUACUUUUCUAGCGGUCAGUUAGGUCCAAAGAUGGAUGUUGCUUUUGCCUUGCGUGAAGAGUGAGACGGUUACGACCGGAACUCCUCGCACAAAACAAGCGAUCAAAAACUCCUUCGAGUCAAUCUUGGUAGAGGAAGCGAUGGCAGUUCAGAAGACAGGAAAAACUACAUGAAAAAAAGUGUUGUCAAGAGUGGGAUUUGAACCCACGCCCUUUCGGACCAGUACCUGAAACUGGCGCCUUAGACCAACUCGGCCAUCUUGACUUGACGUCUCUUAACAUUAUGGAUUCCUAUCUAUACUUGUCUUCUUUACAAUGUUUUUAUUCUCAAGAACCACGGAGAUGAUUUUUAGGUUGCUCACCACAUAUAGAUCUGUAUCCAUAUAUUAAGAUUGAAGAUAGAGAUGUUUCGAUGAAAAUAAGGAUUACAAGUGCUUGACCGCGGUUGCGCCGCACCACGCACCAUGAGAAACCAAUGUGAGAUCACUCUUGUUGGACUAUCUUCCAUUCCCGAUGUUGAUCCUUUAUCUUCUCGGUUAGAAAUGCCGCUCUCGAGCCAGAUGGAUUGCAAACUUCACAUAGCGGCUGAGUUGAAACAUCUCUUAAGUACAUGAUUUGCAAUAUAGUGGCUUAAGAAUCGGAAGGGAUCAAGGGAUGCAUGGCAUAUGGGAUUCGGCACAAUGGUAACCUCCUUUGGUGCCCACCGUAUUAAGAAAAAAGAGAAAUAUAUUAAUAUUAAGUAGAUAUCAAUUACAUCCCAGUCUCUGCACCCACUAGAUGCAUAUAAACAUCCAGGAUACACAUAGUCAAAAAAGAAAAUAUAAAGAAAAAAAAACUGCCAUGAACAUCAAUCACUUGCAGUAACCAUCAUCAAAAACUACACCUGGACUAGAAAGAUAGUUCUUAAAAAAAUGCCUUCAAGAAAAAUACAAUGCAUAAACUUUGUCGUUGCCCGAUUAAAGAAUGUGAACAGCAUGCCGCUUGAACCCCAACCCCCCCUCCUACAAUAUGUUACUCUCGUUGUAACUUUCAGUGUGGCAUCAGACGAUCCAUCAAACUUCAGAAGCUGCUCUUGUCCCACCUGUCCUACGCGCUGUUGACCUUAAAUAUUCAAAAAGUCCUUGGUUGGAACUAAGUUCAUGCCAAUAAUUGGUCUUCCCAAAUCUACUACACCAUCAAAACAUAUAUACUUACUAGAAAAAAAAGAACAUAAAUGAGUGCUCCAUUGAAACUUCGUCAGCCAAUAAUUGGAACUAAGUUCAUGCCAAUAAUUGGUCUCCUGACUCACAUUGAUAAUUUCGUUUUUUCCAUCCAAUAAUGUCAGCUGUACCUAAAAAACCAUACUAUUCGGCAGCGUUAUUAUUGAUUCAUUACUCCUUGUACCAGCUGCCUUGCGUGGGGAAGGAAGCGACCCAUCAACCACCACUACCACGAAAUUUCCGACGAUUCUCCAUGAUAACAAAUUUCAAGUCUCGUGUUUUCCCCCUCCUAAUCUGAACGAUUGGAUGAGGAUGAGGAUGAGGAUGAGGAUGAGGAUGAGGAAUCUAUCUACACUUGUUUCUCCUACCUGGACUCCGAUGGCAUUUGCGCCAUGUUUAUAUUCUGCGUGGAGAUGAACACAUGUCCGUUUUUUUUUGUGAUCAACGGAACACAUGGCCGUUGCUUGCUUGCACGUUGUUUCCUCGAAACUGAACCUGAUCAACCGACGGCAUAUUCGAACGGAUUCGUAUCCGUCCCAGCAUCUUUUUAGUACCAUAUGAUUGUGUAAACAACGAGUCGCGUGUUGCAUGAAGUUACACAGCGUCUUAUGCUAUAUAAGUAGUCGCGCCAUAGCUGCAGCUACACAUCUCAGCGUUAACAGGCCAAGAUGAAGCUCGUCGUGCUCUCGGCCCUGCUCCUGCUUUCUCUCGUCGCCGUCUCCUCGGCGGAGGAAUUCGAUUUCUUCUACCUUGUGCAGCAAGUGAGUAGUCGAUGACCGAUUUCCAAUCCGUGUAGAUCGUUUCUUGUACAGAUUGCAAAGUUAGGGUUGGCUGAUUAUUCCUUCCAGAAAACCGAUGAGUCUAACGAUCGGGAUCUCGUUUCUUGGACGGACGUGCUUUCUAGUGGCCAGGGUCCUUCUGUGACACGAAGAAGGGGUGCUGCUUCCCGGACACCGGCAAGCCGGCGACGGACUUCGGCAUCCACGGGCUCUGGCCCAACUACGCCGAGUGCAAGACCCGCGGCGAGCUCGACGGCGCCUUGGAGAUGGUGACCAGGCGGAGGAAGAAGUGCUGGCCGGAGUCCUGCAACAGCGAGCGCCUCAAGCUCUGGGAAAUCAGGGACCUGGUGACGGAGCUGGACGCCAACUGGCCGACGCUGGCGUGCAAGGGCGGGAAGAGCUUCGAGUUCUGGACCCACGAGUGGGAGAAGCACGGCACCUGCUCCAACCUGGACCAGCACGGCUACUUCGCGACGGCGCUCGGCUUCAAGGCCCGCCACAACCUCACCAGCAUCCUCGCCGACGCCGGGAUCGUGCCGUCCGACACCGAGACCUACUUCCUCAGCAGCAUCAGGGACGCCAUCAGGGAGGGGACCGGGUUCACGGCGAACCUGGAGUGCAACCGUGGCGUCGACGGCGAGACGCAGCUGUUCCAGGUGUACCAGUGCAUCGACCGCGACGGGGAGAACCUCAUCGACUGCCCGCUGCCGAUGCAGGGCAACUGCAAAGACAGGGUCCAGCUGCCGGCCUUCUGAUUAAAUUUGAGUUCUAAUUGAACAUCCAUUGCCGCCGCCCGUCGGGGUGUGGCGGCUGAUUGGCUCGACGCGGCCGGCCAUCUGCACGGCGCGCGGCUGGAUUACGUGAUGGAUGUACCUUUGUGUUGGUUAUCGGUUCAGUUAAAAUUCCGUCCAGUCCUGAGUUCUGGACAUCGACGUAACGUUUUCUAUCAAUUCCUGAUCUCAACAGGCGAAUAAAGAC